CACACACACACAAGAGAUUAGAGUAGAGAAAAGGAGCAACUCUAAAAAGCUGGAAGAUCAAAUUUCAGCCAGUGACCCUGCUUCAGUGUGGAAGGUCCUGAGGGACACCACAAGCUACAAGAACAACAUCCUCCAGCUCUGUAGGGAAUCAGCCACCGUCUGAUGACCUGAAGAUUUAAAACUCCUGGUCUCACACCUCACACCCGUCCUGACCAUCUCACCACUCGACCAUCAACACCUCCAGCAGGUGUGUGUGUGUGUGUGUGUGUGUACUUACUCCAGUGAGUGGAUGAGUUUGUUGGGUUCUACAGGUGUGUGUGUGUGUGUGUGUGUGUGUGUGUGUGUGUGUGUGUGUGUGUGUACUUACUCCAGUGAGUGGAUGAGUUUGUUGGGUUCUACAGGUGUGUGUGUGUGUGUGUGUGUACUUACUCCAGUGAGUGGAUGAGUUUGUUGGGUUCUACAGGUGUGUGUGUGUGUGUGUGUGUGUGUGUGUGUGUGUGUGUGUGUGUGUGUGUGUGUGUGUGUGUGUGUGUGUGUGUGUGUGUGUGUGUGUGUGUGUGUGUGUGUGUGUGUGUGUGUGUGUGUGUGUGUGUGUGUGUACUUACUCCAGUGAGUGGAUGAGUUUGUUGGGUUCUACAGGUGUGUGUGUGUGUGUGUGUGUGUGUGUGUGUGUGUGUGUGUGUGUGUGUGUACUUACUCCAGUGAGUGGAUGAGUUUGUUGGGUUCUACAGGUGUGUGUGUGUGUGUGUGUGUGUGUGUGUGUGUGUGUGUGUACUUACUCCAGUGAGUGGAUGAGUUUGUUGGGUUCUACAGGUGUGUGUGUGUGUGUGUGUGUGUGUGUGUGUGUGUGUGUGUGUACUUACUCCAGUGAGUGGAUGAGUUUGUUGGGUUCUACAGGUGUGUGUGUGUGUGUGUGUGUGUGUGUGUGUGUACUUACUCCAGUGAGUGGAUGAGUUUGUUGGGUUCUACAGGUGUGUGUGUGUGUGUGUGUGUGUGUGUGUGUGUGUGUGUGUGUGUGUAUACUUACUCCAGUGAGUGGAUGAGUUUGUUGGGUUCUACAGGUGUGUGUGUGUGUGUGUGUGUGUGUGUGUGUGUGUGUGUGUGUGUACUUACUCCAGUGAGUGGAUGAGUUUGUUGGGUUCUACAGGUGUGUGUGUGUGUGUGUGUGUGUGUGUGUGUGUGUGUGUGUGUGUGUGUGUGUGUGUGUGUGUGUGUGUACUUACUCCAGUGAGUGGAUGAGUUUGUUGGGUUCUACAGGUGUGUGUGUGUGUGUGUGUGUGUGUGUGUGUGUGUGUGUGUGUGUGUGUGUGUGUGUGUGUGUACUUACUCCAGUGAGUGGAUGAGUUUGUUGGGUUCUACAGGUGUGUGUGUGUGUGUGUGUGUGUGUGUGUGUGUGUGUGUGUGUGUGUGUAUACUUACUCCAGUGAGUGGAUGAGUUUGUUGGGUUCUACAGGUGUGUGUGUGUGUGUGUGUGUGUGUGUGUGUGUGUGUGUGU